AGAGUUAAACAGUACGUGAAAUUGUUGAAAGGGAAACGAUUGAAGUCAGUCAUGCUAGUAGGAAAUCAACUUGGUGGUGUGAGUUUAUUUUUUUCUUGCUCUUCCUCGUGUACUUUCUUGCUUGGCAGGUUAGCAUCAAUUUUAGUUGUCAUCAAAGAAUUGGGGAAAUGUGGCUUCUCUUCGGAGAAGUGUUUAUAGACCCUGAUAGAUGUGGCGACUGGGAUUGAGGAUUGCAGCGGAUACCUUUAGGUUAGUCACCUGUCUUCUGAAGGUCACCUCGCUUUCAACAGCUUGCUGAUGAUUGUGGGAUUUGGCAGUCUAGAAGGUAGAAUGAUCAUAAAUUCGCUAAGGAUGCUGACGUAAUGGCUUUAAACGA
rnacentral:misc_RNA from 1 species